AGUCCCCUAUGGGAGGCGCAGGCGGGAAUAGUUCCCAAUGGACGAAAGUCUGAGGACGCGACGCCGCGUGAGCGAAGAAGGCCUUCGGGUUGUAGAGCUCUGUCAGGAGGGAAGAAGGCGCUGGGUGUUAAUAGCACCAAGCGUUGACGGUACUUCCAGAGGAAGCCCCGGCUAAAUACGUGCCAGCAGCCGCGGUAAUACGUAUGGGGCAAGCGUUGUCCGGAUUAACUGGGCGUAAAGGGCACGCAGGCGGUUCGUUUAGUCGAAGGUGAAAUCCCCGGGCUCAACUCAGGAACUGCCUUCGAUACUGGCGAACUAGAGUGGCGUAGAGGAAAGCGGAACUCCUGGUGUAACGGUGGAAUGUGUAGAUAUCACGAGGAACACCGGUGGCGAAGGCGGCUUUCUGGACGCACACUGACGCUCAGGUGCGAAAGCGUGGUUAGCAAACAGGAUUAGAUACCCUGGUAGUCCACGCCGUAAACGAUGGGUACUAGGUGUCGGGGGUAUCGAUCCCCUCGGUGCCGAAGUCAACGCAUUAAGUACCCCGCCUGGGGAGUAUGGUCGCAAGGCUGAAACUCAAAGGAAUUGACGGGUCCCCGCACAAGCGG
rnacentral:rRNA from 1 species